GAGAUACCACUUCAUGGAGAGGUGUCACUGCAAUCAACAGAAAUACCCCAGGGGCAAGGAGAGCUGAUGCUGGGAUGAUAGAACGCUCCGGACACAAUGAAAGUGAAACGAAGAGCAUAUCGGUGGUCUCUUUUCACCAGGAAUUUACCAUCAGUCCUUAGAGAAAAUGUAGAGGGCCCUGUAGGGCUCUAUAUAAUUACCCUCUUCUAGGCUGACUCAACCUUCUGCUAGAUGCUGGGCAAAUUGAUUGCUGAUGUCUCAAAUCUCCAUCCUUCACUGGACAUUGCCCUGGAAAGCAGAGAACUGUAUUGAUCAAUGUUACACCUCUUGUCUGGCUGACGAUGAAAUACAGCAACUUAUUGCCUCCAGCUGGGAUAAUUCUGAAGAGCCAUUGAGUUCUCCAAGUGAUUGACUGAGUCCUCCAUUGUACCGUACUGAUGGUAGAAAGAACUCAAGUAUUUGGACCAGUAAGAAUGAGAGUAAACCUGCACUGGUGGAAGUCUAUUCUAGAAGAUGCAUGGACACAUCUUAUUUCAGUGAUUACAGUAGUCAAAAUUAUCCACAGCAUUGUAAAGGCUCUUCUUUAGUACCACUUUCAUAUUAGUUCUAUUAUUGUUUAAAUACAAUUGCAUUUCUCUUUUUAAUUUAAGUAAACAGUUUGCUUAAGUUAUUUUGUUUUACUUCAGUUGUCGAUUUCUACUCUGAAACGAGUUUACCAAAAAUAUAGAUUUUCUUUCUCCUAACAAAUAAUAUGUAUAAAUAUAGCCCCCCAACUUGUAAAAAUGUAAAAUCAUUAUUAUCCCUAACAAUGUAAAAUUCUAAUAAAAUAGACAUAACUUCUUUUUGUUUGUUUUGGUGAGGGAGAUUGGCCCUGAACUAACAUCUGUUGCCAAUCUUCCUCUUUUUUGCUUGAGGAAGAUUGGCUCUGAGCCAACAUCUGUGCCAAUCUUCCUCUAUUUUGUAUGUAGGAUGCCACCACAGCAUGGCUUGAGGGGUG
rnacentral:lncRNA from 1 species